rnacentral:lncRNA from 1 species
CGGGUUUAACGCCCUCAAGGCAAUCGGUCCUAUGGCCAAUAAAGAUUAGAAAAAUACCAGAAAUGCCUCUUUGUAGAAAACAUCUUCAUCUUAGAGAGAAAUCCUAGAGCAGCCAUAGCCACCACUUUCUCUCCGAACCUUCUCUCCGAUCAGGGGCUGCUUGAUCAAGCUGUGUAAAGUAUGCACCAAUAUGGUCUAGUCGCCUCCAAUUACAAUAAAAAUUGACCACCUUAAAGCUCAGAUGAGAUGAGAGUUGAUUACAUCCUCUGCUAAAGCAACGAUCAUCAAUUCACGAUACUCUAAUUCCUCCAUCAUUAGUUAGAAGAAACAGAGCACUAUGGGAUAAUUUCCACCAACACCACUCAUGGGUCUUUCGUUUAGCCAGCUUACCUUCUGCUCCUCCACCAGCUACCAACAGAGAAUGGCAUCCCAUAGGAUUAAGGUUGAGAAAAGCAUGAUCGAUCAUCAAAACUAAAAGAAAGACGAACUUAAAUACUAAAACCAAGAAAAAGUAAACUUAGAAGACUAAAUUUAAAGAAAAACUAAAUCUAAACCACAAAGGGGCUUGCUUCCGAUGGUGGAAACCACCGGAGGCAGCCGCAUACGAGAAUCUUAAUUUGGGGACUAGAAGAAAUCGAGCAAAAAUUAGAGAAAGAAACUAGAAAGGACGAUAAGAAGAUACGAGGGAACUAAAACUACAAACAGUAUCGAAACAUAUGAAAUUAAUUUAUUUAAUUCGAUUUAGUUGGUUAUUCUGUAUCAUCUUAGUACUUGCACAAACUUACUAACAUCAUGCUUUAUAUAGUUUUUGGUGCUAAAUUUUUUCAGCUAUUUCGAUUUUAAUAUACCUGGAAAACAGUUUUUGUAUUGGAAUCAAUAGAAACCGAAAUGUAUUCUCAGCUUGACCAAAAGUGAAUUAAAAAUAAAAGAGGAUGAGCAUGUCUUUCACGUUUGAUA